GACGAACGCUGGCGGCGUGCUUAACACAUGCAAGUCGUACGGUAAGGCCCUUUAGGGGGUCCAAGAGUGGCGGACGGGUGAGUAAGACUAACGUAAGCUGACUCCAACUUUGAGCUGGGGACAGGAAACUGGUACGAAUACUGAAACUGUAUAAAUGCUGCAUGGAGGGGGUUGGAAUGUUACGGAGGUUUUGGAUUGACUCACGGCCUAUCCGCCUGUUGGUUGGGUAGUGGCCUACCAAGGCGCGGACGGGUGGGCGGCCUGAGAGGGGGACCGGCAGCCAUUGGACUGCGAUACGGCCCAGACUCCUACCGGAGGCAGCAGUGGGGAAUAUUACACAAUGGGGCCGAGCCUGAUGCAACAACGCCGCGUUCGGGAUGAUGGGCUUCGGGUUGUAAACCGCGUUCAGCAGGGACGAAGCAUUUAGUGACGGUAACUGCAGAAGAAGCACCGGCUAACUACGUG
rnacentral:rRNA from 1 species